UCGGACUGCAGUCUGCAACUCGACUGUACGAAGCUGGAAUCGCUAGUAAUCGCGAAUCAGAAUGUCGCGGUGAAUACGUUCCCGGGCCUUGUACACACCGCCCGUCAAGCCAUGGGAGCCGGGGGUGCCUGAAGUACGUGACCGCGAGGAGCGUCCUAGGGCAAAACUGGUGACUGGGGCUAAGUCGUAACAAGGUAUC
rnacentral:rRNA from 1 species